UACGUAGGGGGCUAGCGUUGUCCGGAUUUAUUGGGCGUAAAGAGCUCGUAGGCGGUUUGUCGCGUCUGCUGUGAAAACCGGAGGCUCAACCUCCGGCCUGCAGUGGGUACGGGCAGACUAGAGUGCGGUAGGGGAGAUUGGAAUUCCUGGUGUAGCGGUGGAAUGCGCAGAUAUCAGGAGGAACACCGAUGGCGAAGGCAGAUCUCUGGGCCGUAACUGACGCUGAGGAGCGAAAGCAUGGGGAGCGAACAGG
rnacentral:rRNA from 1 species